CAGUAGCCGCGGGAAUACGAAGGGGGCAAGCGUUAUCCGGAUUUACUGGGUGUAAAGGGAGCGCAGACGGCUCUGCAAGUCUGAAGUGAAAGCCCGCGGCUUAACCGCGGGACUGCUUUGGAAACUGCAAGGCUUGAGUAUCGGAGGGGCAGGCGGAAUUCCUAGUGUAGCGGUGAAAUGCGUAGAUAUUAGGAAGAACACCAGUGGCGAAGGCGACUUUCUGGACGAAAACUGACGCUGAGGCGCGAAAGCCAGGGGAGCGAACGGGAUUAGAUACCCGCGUAGUCCCUGUCUCUUAUAA
rnacentral:rRNA from 1 species